rnacentral:misc_RNA from 1 species
UGUCAAUAAACCGAAACUCAAGGGUGUUCUUCACUGGGUUGCUGAACCUUCUCCCGGGGUUGAACCUCUUAAGGUGGAAGUAAGGCUGUUUGAGAAGUUAUUUCUUUCGGAGAACCCUGCAGAGCUGGAUGACUGGUUGUCUGAUUUGAAUCCACAAUCAAAGGAAGUGAUAACUGAGGCAUAUGCGGUACCCACCCUUUCCAGUGCUGUAUUGG